UCUGGAACGCCGACCGUCGCUGCUCUCCUCGUCUUAUCCCCUUCCCCCUCGCUUCCUAUCAGUACUUGCGCCUCUGCUUCAGUCCAGUGUGUCUUCUCCUCUCCCUGCCGAUAGUUGGGGUUAAUGGAUGUUCUUGCUAGAUCUGCUCCCUCUCCUUAUUCUUAUCCCUGUGGUUGUUCUUAUGCUUUUAUAAGGUGCUUUUUUGUGCUUUUUUCUGUUCACAGGAUUUGGGAAUCAGGGGAUUCUUGGCAGAGGGAUUAGUUUGCUGCAUCUAUCCCCUUCUUCAGCCGAUGAAGUCCCUGAAGUUUUCGAUGUCGUCCUUGAUGAAUAUUGCUUUAGGAGGAUGAUUUGCUGCUGUUGGUUUGGUGGAUCGAAGGAGAAGGUAGCUGCCUACAAGAAUCGUCUGGACAAGUUGUUCAGAAACAUCAGAAGGCAAGGGGAGAUCUGAGCUUUCUUUCUUCUCCCAUGGUGGCGGCUGUGUGGGUGUUGAGCAAGAAAGAAGAGGAGGCAAGGGAGAAGACCUAGUGAGCAGGGCCGGCCCUGGGGGGGGGGGGGGGGGGGGGGCAGGGGGGGCGGGCGCCCCGGGCCCACGAGUAGGAAGGGCCCCCCGAUUGAUUUGGUUUCCCUGUAUACGUGUGAUUGUUUUGCCGGUUGAUUGAUUCUCCAAAAGGAAACAAAAAAUAAUUAAUGGAUUAACACGCCGUGCAGUCCUCUCGGCUUAAUACUCUUCCUCCCCAAUUGGCAACAAAUCAGCCAUGCCAUGAAUGACGGCGCCCCUCCCACUCGUCUAAUUGUAAUUUUUGGCUGCUAGGCGCCAUUAGUGGAAGAAGGUAAUGUGGUUUCCAGAUUCCCAACAAUCUUCUCUUCAAUGCAAAUUUUUUCUUUCUAUUCUUGUUGGUCGUUCGUUUCCUGAAGAUUAUCCUCGUACGUCUCUUUUUCUCAUAUACUCUAGUUUCUUGUAUUGAUUCGGAUUAGAAAACAAAAACUCUGACUUCUGUCCGUGACGCAACAGCAAAAUUAUGCGACUUCAAUUUUUCUAGCCAUCCAGGUAACUUGUUCCAUGCCUUACUUAGCACUUUUAUUUAAUUAGCAGUACUCUUAAUUUCUUGUAUCAUAUGUUGUGUGCUGAUUAGCAAGAUUGCCAUUCAUUUAGCAAGAUGCUAUCCAGAAAAAAAUCCAUCUGAUAAUUGAGGAAACACAAGCAUAUGAGUUAAUUGAGUCUCACAUGAGGUGUUGACAUUUUUUUAGAGCAGAUACAAGUGCUCUACGGAUUCCCUGCAAAAAGAAACAAUAUUUCUACUGCUAGGAACUCCAAGGAGUUAGCUUUAGUUGUUCAAGAACAACUAGUGAAAACUAUAGGAAGAUAAAAAAAUUAGUAGGCAUGAUAGUGCUACUAAUUCACCUAAUAAUACAAAUAUAUACAGUAUAAGGGUGGAGAUCCACUUUUACUGUGAAUGUUUAUGACCCCAGUUUCUUAAUAGUCAAGAAGACAAGGCACCAUAAAUUAUAGUUUGCUAAAUAUUUAUUUGCAGUUGAAAUAGACAUAAAAAUAUGCACAUGUUUAUGUGGCUUUAGGGCCCCUCCGUGUUGUCUCGCCCCGGGCCCCGGAAAUCUCAGGACCGGCCCUGCUAGUGAGCUAUACGAUGACUGGAUCUUUAGCUUAGCGGAUUCAGGCCCGUUUUCUCUCUGGGCUAAAGAAAGAACAGAAGAAAGAAACAGAAUGUUCUAAGGCUUUCUUUCUGUUGGGCUGACUGACUGACAAUAGUUUUGGGUCAGUCAGCUUUCUUUCUGGGUUGCAAUCUUUUCCCUUUGUUAACAUUCGACUGACCACUUUUUGAGUCAGUCGAUUGAUCUGUAGCCACUCCCUAUGCCAAGUGGGUUAUGACUUAUGAGGACCUCAAACACAUGAUUUUUCAAUGGGUGUGGUUAGGUCUUAGUCGACUGAGACUUAACCAUGUUUUAGUCAAGUGAUAUAGUAUAAGGAGAAAAAAAACCGUAAAGAUUUUUUUUACGAAUCUCCUUGCAAGAUCAAAGAAAUAUAACACCGACUCAGACAUAACGAAGUCUAAGUCGACUGAGACUUAGCAAAACAGUUUUUCCCAAUGUGAGAAAGAGCAAGCCAGUGUGGAAAGAACAUAGGCUUAAGGAGGUGAUGUCCAUUUAUUUAGAUCGCUCGGAAUCUAUUGGUGCUGGACGAGAUGAUAAGAACGAACAAAUACUCACUAUAGUUCUUGCAUGUUGGGGAUCUUGUUCUUACGGCGAGCUGGUUUCUAUGGUGGCAGCGGAGACAAGUUACGCAUGGAGAGCAAAUCCAGUCGAUUGGUAGAUCGGUGAUGUCUAUUUUUGCUCUACCACUGAACUUUUCAAGGGUAAAGAAAAGAAUAGCUACUACCACAGGUCCUACUUGGAGUUGUCCUCCUAAAGGGGUUUAUGCAGUCAAUGUAGAUGCAGCUUUUAACUGUGAUACUAAACAAGGCUCUUCUGGCAUUGUUAUUAGAGAUACAACUAGUGGUUUUGUUGCUGCGAGAAGUUUUAAAAUUGAUUAUGCAGAUGAUGUUUUAAUGGCUGAAACAAUGGCAACUAGAGAUGGUAUAUGGUUUGCCGAACAUAUAGGCCUGAAUAGGGUUGUUCUUCAGUCAGAUAACGAGGUGGUAAUCCAACUAUGAUGGAAGGAGGGUUUUCUGGACCAAAUAGUUCAGAACAAGUUCGAUGAAGUGAAAUUUGCUCAUUGUCCAAGGGAAGUCAACAUGGCAGCGCAUGAGGAAAUGUCUGACGACGAAAAGGAUUUCGGUAUUUGCAAAUACUG